rnacentral:lncRNA from 1 species
CUUAAAAUUUUUUUUUUUUUUUUUUUUUUUUUUUUGAGACAGAAUCUCGCUCUGUCGCCCAGGCUGGAAUGCAGUGGCGCGAUCUCUGCUCACUACAAGCUCCGCCUCCCGGGUUCACGCCAUUCUCCUGCCUCAGCGCCCCCAUGCUGGGAUUACAGGCGUGAGCCACCGCGCCCGGCCUUAAAAAUUGAAUCUGUAGCUUAGGCCAUCCAAAUUUUAUAAAUCCAAAUUAACUUUAGAAUGUUUCUAUUACUUUCACUUUUACAUAUAUAAAUUUUAAGUGUCCUGAUUGGCUGAACAAUAUCUCACAUCAAAUGCUUUGCCUGGAAAUAGAUAUCCCACUGGGGAUAGUGGUGUGUAAACUAUGACUUGGACAAUUCUAUAUACUCAAGCACCAUAAAAAGUAUGCAGUUGAAAAGAAAAUCAAAGUUGAUUCCUGGGUGCCAACUAAAUAUUCAAAUCAGGUACUCAUCCUUAUCAGCUAAAUUCAUUUUCACCAGGAACAGACCACCAAAUAAAUUAUUUUAUCCUAAUAACUAGUUUUGAAGCAGUGUAAUUACUCUGGAAGAAGGCUCUAAAAAGUCAUGAUUCCCCCACUAUUUUGAAAUGUAUCCUCUAACAAGGAUCAUUAUAGUGUAAUCUUAAUUUUUAUGUUUUAUCAAGAUGAAAUCUUGUUUGAAUUGUGAUAUUAUAAAAGGGGACUCAAAAAUCCAAGCAGUCUACUGUGUUUAAAUUAACACCACAACCUUCCUUAUCAGAUUAUAAGAGUAGAAAAAUUAACACUUGGUGUGUGAAUCUUCAGGAAAAUGAGCUAUUUCAUAAGCUCAAACAAGCAGCUUCCUUUUCCAGAGAAUAUAGAAUUAUAUUAUGGUCUCCUUAAAUGUUUAGUAGCUCUUAUGGUCACAGCAUUUUUAAUCUCCCUAUGGCAUCUUUAUGGAAUAAUUUUCUAAAGGGUAAUUCUCUACUAAAAAUAUCAGACCCCGACCAUAUUUAAUGUGGAGAGCAAUACCCUCUUAGAAAGAAAAUACAUUGACUCAUACACUUGUUAAAAGUUAAUAAAGAAAUAGCUCAUUUUUAAAGCCGGAAGUUUAUGGUCUCUGCAUCGUCAAUUUAAUUUAAGCAUUGCUGAGACAAUCUUUAAUCUACUCCCCUUUUUGUAAUACCUUAUUUAUGGUGCAUUUUCAUUUUUAUUUGGGGGAAACGUUAGCCCAACAGAGCCGGCAGAUGAAAGUGUUGAAAAGAGGUCAAAUGGAAACAAAGGCUCUUACCCGCUGUAUUUCAGACAGGACUGAGGCACUUAGCCGAGGAGCCACUGGGUUAUUAGAUUAAUUUCAAAAGAGCUUUUACAAGUUGCUUAAUUCCUUUUUUUUUUUUUUUUUUUUUCAAAAACCCAUGAACCACAAACUCAAAUUUCUCCUCAAAUGGGGUUAAUCUGACAAACGAGGCAUGGACCCAGCCUUGUGGAAAAAGCAUUCCACGCUAAUGAGAUCUUGGUCUUUCUUGUGAGGCUACGUUAUUUAUGUAAAUAUGUCUGGAGGCACCUUCUCUAAGCUUUUAGUUUUCUAUGAUCUAUUAGUUUAGUGUUUAUUAAAGAAUCAAAUGUAUAGAAUUACCAGGCAUUCGUGGGGAAUGCUGUGUAGCAAAUGUAAAACUGACCUGCUCGGAAGAAACGUAGGAACGCUUCAAACCCACUGUAAUGUUUGGUUUGAGAUUAUUUUCAUUGCUUUGAGAGUGAACUGCCUAAGAGUAGGCCUUAUAAUAAAUGCUAUGUGCGUCUUCAGUAGUUCCAAGCUAAAGCAAUUUGGCAUUCUCCCACUGUGAUUUGUGACUUUUAAACCCACAAAAUAAAAGCUUUUUGGUAUUGAUUGUUUUUAAUUAAAAAUACUUCCAAGUAUAAAUUGAAACGGAUGCCACCCUUGAAGAUUUACUGGCGGGAAUGCUCACUCUUGUCGUUUUCCUCAGUAUCGUUCAUGUCUUUGGCAACAAGAACACCUGAUGAAAGCAAGCAAUGCUCAGUUCCCAUCAACAUUUCUAGUUAGGGGGAUUCUCAUAACCCCACAGUUUACCUGAGAAAGUUUUCUGUGUUAGAAGAAUGGGGUCGAGAGUAUUACCUUUUAGCUCAGUGUGGCCGGGCCUUUUGUUGCAGUCAAAUGGCAAAUACGCACUCCUUGAAAUGGCUUCUUUUAUUUGGUUUUGUUUUCUUAGACUUAUAAAUUUGAAAAGAAUGCAAUUUAAAAAGUGAUUUCUCACAAAGAGUAAAUAUGCCUUUUGCAAAUCAAUUUUUGUAACAAGUUAUUUAUAUGAUAUUACUUAAUAAACUGGUUUUUUUCUA